rnacentral:pre_miRNA from 1 species
AAUAAACCAAGUUUUCACUUUUUACCAAUAAUGUUUGACUCUUCGUCUUAUUGAAAAAUUUUUUACGAUUAACUUUUUUGUUUUUAUUAGAUAAUAAAUUAUGAAUAGUACUUAACGUGUGACUUAUUUUUUUAAUUUCUUAAAAAUAUUUUAAAUAAGACGGAUGGUCAAACGCUGAACACGGGAUUGAAAGAGUUGGUUUAUU